GAUAUCGCGAUAGGAGUGAUAAUGUGGCAAGGAUAUCGCGAUAGGAGUGAUAGUGUGGCAGGGAUAUCGUGAUAGGAACAAUAGCAUGGCAGAGAUAUCGCGAUAGGGAUGAUAAUGGGACAGGGAUAUCGCAAUAGGGAUGAUAGAGUGGCACUGAUAUCGCGAUAGGAGUGAUAAUGUGGCAAGGAUAUCGCGAUAGGAGUGAUAGUGUGGCAGGGAUAUCGUGAUAGGAACAAUAGCAUGGCAGAGAUAUCGCGAUAGGGAUGAUAAUGGGACAGGGAUAUCGCGAUAGGGAUGAUAGAGUGGCACUGAUAUCGCGAUAGGAGUGAUAAUGUGGCAAGAAUAUCGCGACAGGAACGAUAUUGUGGCAGGGAUAUCGCGAUAGGGCCUAUAUCGCGAUAGGGCCUAUAGAUAAUGUGAUAGGGCUCCCAGAUAUCGCGAUAGGGCGGAUAUAUAUCACAAUAGGGCUGAUAUAUAUUGCGAUAGGGCCAACAGAUACCGUGAUAGGACCGAUAGAUAUCACGAUAGGGCAUACAGAUAUCGUGAUAGGGCCUAUAUAGCGAUAGGGCCUAUAGAUAUCACGAUAGGGCUCACAGGUAUCACGAUAGGGCCUAUAGAUAUCACGAUAGGGCUCACAGGUAUCGCGAUAAGGCCAAUAGAUAUCGCAAUAGGGCCAACAGAUAUGGUGAUAAGGCUGAUACAUAUCGUGAUAGGGCCAAUAUAAACAGCAAUAGGGCCUGUAUUGCGAUAGAGCGUAUAAAUAUCAUGACAGGGCCUACACAUAUCGCGAUAGGGAUCACAG
ensembl:lncRNA